rnacentral:rRNA from 1 species
AUUGAACGCUGGCGGCAGGCUUAACACAUGCAAGUCGAGCGGGGGAAGGUAGCUUGCUACCGGACCUAGCGGCGGACGGGUGAGUAGUGCUUAGGAAUCUGCCUAUUAGUGGGGGACAACAUCUCGAAAGGGAUGCUAAUACCGCAUACGUCCUACGGGAGAAAGCAGGGGGUCUUCGGACCGUGCGCUAAUAGAUGAGCCCAAGUCGGAUUAGCUAGUUGGUGGGGUAAAGGCCUACCAAGGCGACGAUCUGUAGCGGGUCUGAGAGGAUGAUCCGCCACACUGGGACUGAGACACGGCCCAGACUCCUACGGGAGGCAGCAGUGGGGAAUAUUGGGCAAUGGGGGGAACCCUGAUCCAGCCAUGCCGCGUGUGUGAAGAAGGCCUUAUGGUUGUGAAGCACUUUAAGCGAGGAGGAGGCUACUUUAGUUAAUACCUAGAGAUAGUGGACGUUACUCGCAGAAUAAGCACCGGCUAACUCUGUGCCAGCCGCCGCUGUAA